rnacentral:lncRNA from 1 species
GGUACAGAGUCAGUGUGGAGGUUAUAUACAGGGGGUACCGGUACAGAGUCAGUGUGGAGGUUAUAUACAGGGGGUACCGGUACAGAGUCAGUGUGGAGGUUAUAUACAGGGGGUACCGGUACAGAGUCAGUGUGGAGGCUAUAUACAGGGGGUACAGGUACCGAGUCAGUGUGGAGGUUAUAUACAGGGGGUACAGGUACAGAGUCAGUGUGGAGGUUAUAUACAGGGGGUACCGGUACAGAGUCAGUGUGGAGGCUAUAUACAGGGGGUACCGGUACAGAGUCAGUGUGGAGGUUAUAUACAGGGGGUACAGGUACAGAGUCAGUGUGGAGACUAUAUACAGGGGGUACCGGUACAGAGUCAAUGUGGAGGCUAUAUACAGGGUAUUACGGUACAGAGUCAAUGUGGAGGCUAUAUACAGGGUAUUACGGUACAGAGUCAAUGUGG